UACGGGCACUGUUUGGUAGCGGGGAUAAAGAAGUACCCGGGCAAGGUCAUCCGCAAGGACUCGGCGAAGAAGACAGCGAAGAAGUCACGCGUCAAGGCCUUCGUCAAGUUGGUCAACUACCAGCACCUGAUGCCCACGCGCUACACUCUCGACGUCGAUUUGAAGGACGUCGUGUCGGCCGAUUCCCUCCAGAGCAAGGACAAGAAGGUGACCGCUUGCAAGGAGACCAAGAAGCGCCUCGAGGAGAGGUUUAAGACUGGCAAGAAUCGUUGGUUCUUUACUAAGCUCAGGUUUUAGAUUUUUAACCAAAGGAAGAAAACGACUUGUGUUUUUGUUUUGUUUUAUUUUGUGUUAUUGAAAACGCUUUAGUUGUUA
rnacentral:lncRNA from 1 species